rnacentral:lncRNA from 1 species
GAUGAAUGCGGCGAUGAAGAGUUGUUUCAAACUGUCGAUUUUGCUUGAAACUGACUGAUUUUGUGAUUUGUGGAGCAUAUGGAGUGAAAUUUGGGGAAAUUAGGGUUUCAAACUGUUGAUUUUGGAUGAAAUUGACUAGUGAGAUUGAAUCAGUAUGUUGAUUUUAACGAUUUUGAAGUUGAUUGAGGUUGAUUUUGUGUAUGAGAGUGAUGAAUUGCGAGUUUUUUAGGGUUUAGUUUUGAAUUGAUUGAAGAAGAGAUU